rnacentral:rRNA from 1 species
GUGCCAGCCGCCGCGGUAAUACCGGCAGCACGAGUGAUGACCGAUAUUAUUGGGCCUAAAGCGUCCGUAGCUGGCUGCGCGAGUCCGUCGGGAAAUCCACUCGCCCAACGAGUAGGCGUCCGAUGGAAACUGCACAGCUUGGGACCGGAAGGCUCGAAGGGUACGUUCGGGGUAGGAGUGAAAUCCCAUAAUCCCGCACGGACCACCGAUGGCGAAAGCACUUCGAGAAAACGGAUCCGACAGUGAGGGACGAAAGCCAGGGUCUCCAACCGGAUUAGAAACCCCAGUAGUCC